GAUGAACGCUGGCGGCGUGCCUAAUACAUGCAAGUCGAGCGAAUGGAUUAAGAGCUUGCUCUUAUGAAGUUAGCGGCGGACGGGUGAGUAACACGUGGGUAACCUGCCCAUAAGACUGGGAUAACUCCGGGAAACCGGGGCUAAUACCGGAUAACAUUUUGAACCGCAUGGUUCGAAAUUGAAAGGCUGCUUCUGCUGUCACUUAUGGAUGGACCCGCGUGGCAUUAGCUGGUUGGUGAGGUAACGGCUCACCAAGGCAACGAUGCGUAGCCGACCUGAGAGGGUGAUCGGCCACACUGGGACUGAGACACGGCCCAGACUCCUACGGGAGGCAGCAGUAGGGAAUCUUCCGCAAUGGACGAAAGUCUGACGGAGCAACGCCGCGUGAGUGAUGAAGGCUUUCGGGUCGUAAAACUCUGUUGUUAGGGAAGAACAAGUGCUAGUUGAAUAAGCUGGCACCUUGACGGUACCUAACCAGAAAGCCACGGCUAACUACGUGCCAGCAGCCGCCGUAA
rnacentral:rRNA from 1 species